AUGGUGUCUCCGGCUGUAAGUGUUGUUGGAAAUGGGGUGUUGUCGCCGAGGGUCGCCUCGUUCUCCUCCAGAGGUCCAAGCCUAUUGCUCCCUGGCAUACUGAAGCCCGACAUUACUGCUCCUGGCGUCAACAUAUUGGCAGCGGUACGCGGCUCCUACGUGUUCUAUUCUGGGACAUCAAUGGCGUGCCCACAUGUCUCCGCAGUGACUGCGAUGCUCAAGUCGGUUCACCCUCAGUGGUCACCUGCCAUGAUCAAAUCGGCCAUCGUCACCACAGCAUCUGUGACCGAUCGUUUUGGCAUGCCAAUCCAAGCAGAAGCAGUCCCAAGGAAACUAGCCGACCCCUUCGACUUUGGUGGUGGACACAUUGACCCAAAUAGAGCCGUUGACCCUGGCUUGGUUUACGACAUUGAUGCAAGGGAGUACAACAAGUUUUUCAACUGCACCCUUGGAUAUUUAGGCGGCUGUGAGUCCUACUACCUCAAUCUCAACCUCCCGUCAAUUGCCGUGCCAGACCUCAAGGACCGUGUCAUGCUUCGGCGCACCGUGACUAACAUUGGGCCAGCGGAAGCAACAUAUCAUUUAGUGGUUGAAGCUCCAGCGGGGAUAGACGUGUCCGUAGAGCCAUCUGUGAUAAAUUUCACCCAAAGCACUAGUAAAAGCGUGACGUUUAUGGUGACAUUCACAACAAGGCAGAGAGUACAAGGAGGAUACACUUUUGGGAGCUUGACAUGGUCAGACGGAAGUACCCACUCAGUGAGAAUUCCUAUUGCGGUACGGAAUGUGAUACAAGACUUUGUUGCAGAUACAUCUUAA
rnacentral:rRNA from 1 species